UACGUAGGGGGCGAGCGUUGUCCGGAAUCACUGGGCGUAAAGGGCACGCAGGCGGCCUGUUAAGUCAGACGUGAAAUGCCGCAGCUCAACUGCGGAACUGCGUUUGAUACUGGCAGGCUAGAGUCCAGUAGAGGGAAGCGGAAUUCCUGGUGUAGCGGUGAAAUGCUUAGAUAUCAGGAGGAACGUCAGUGGCGAAGGCGGCUUCCUGGGCUGUGACUGACGCUCAGGUGCGAAAGCUAGGGGAGCGAACCGG
rnacentral:rRNA from 1 species